rnacentral:rRNA from 1 species
CUGCUGCCUCCCGUAGGAGUUUGGGCCGUGUCUCAGUCCCAAUGUGGCCGGCCACCCUCUCAGGUCGGCUACUGAUCGUCGCCUUGGUGGGCCGUUACCUCACCAACCAGCUAAUCAGACGCGGAUCCAUCCCAUACCACCGGAGUUUUUCACACCGGACCAUGCGGUCCUGUGCGCUUAUGCGGUAUUAGCAGUCAUUUCUAACUGUUAUCCCCCUGUAUGAGGCAGGUUAUCCACGCGUUACUCACCCGUCCG